GAUGAACGCUGGCGGCGUGCCUAAUACAUGCAAGUCGAGCGGACGGACGAGGAGCUUGCGUGUCGGAUGUUAGCGGCGGACGGGAGAGUAACACGUGGAUAACCUACCUAUAAUACGGGUAAAAUUUCGAGAAUGCGGAGCAAAUACCGGAGAAGAUUCUGCACCACAGGGGGGAAAAGUGAAAGACGGUGUUGCGGGCAGGUAUAGAUGCAUCCGCGCUGCAUUGGCUGGUUGGUAAGGUAACGGGUUACCAAGGGAACGAGGCAUAGCCGAGCUCAGGGGGUGGUAGGCCACCCUGGAGCUUGAACACGGUCCAGAGUCCUACGGGAGGCAGCAGUAGGGUAUGUUCCGCAAUGGGGGGAAGCAUGGCGCAGCGACGGCGCGUCAGAGAUGGCGGUCUCCCGAUCGUAAAACUCUGUUAUUAGGGAAAAACCUAUGUGUACGUAACUGUGGCGAUCUUGACGGUAACUGAUAAGAAAGCCCCGGCUAACUACGUG
rnacentral:rRNA from 1 species